GACGAACGCUGGCGGCGUGCUUAACACAUGCAAGUCGAACGGAAAGGCUCUGCUUUUGUGGGGUGCUCGAGUGGCGAACGGGUGAGUAACACGGGAGUAACCUGCCCUUGACUUUGGGAUAACUUCAGGAAACUGGGGCUAAUACCGGAUAGGAGCUCCUGCUGCAGGGUGGGGGUGGGAAAGUUUCGGCGGUUGGGGAGGGACUCGCGGCUUAUCAGCUUGUUGGUGGGGUAGUGGCUUACCAAGGCUUUGACGGGUAGCCGGCCUGAGAGGGUGACCGGCCACAUUGGGACUGAGAUACGGCCCAGACUCCUACGGGAGGCAGCAGUGGGGAAUAUUGCACAAUGGGCGGAAGCCUGAUGCAGCAACGCCGCGUGCGGGAUGACGGCCUUCGGGUUGUAAACCGCUUUCGCCUGUGACGAAGCGUGAGUGACGGUAAUGGGUAAAGAAGCACCGGCUAACUACGUG
rnacentral:rRNA from 1 species